ACUCAAAUGAAUUGACGGGGACCCGCACAAGCGGUGGAGCAUGUGGUUUAAUUCGACGCAACGCGAAGAACCUUACCUGGGCUAGAAUGCCCCUGACAGCCUCGGAGACGAGGUUUCCCAUGGAAACAUGGGCAGGGUGCAAGGUGCUGCAUGGCUGUCGUCAGCUCGUGUCGUGAGAUGUUGGGUUAAGUCCCGCAACGAGCGCAACCCUUAUCAACAGUUGCCAACGGGUAAAGCCGGGAACUCUGUUGAGACUGCCGUUGACAAAACGGAGGAAGGUGGGGAUGACGUCAAGUCCUCAUGGCCUUUAUGUCCAGGGCUACACACGUGCUACAAUGGCAGGUACAAAGCGCUGCAAACCCGCGAGGGGGAGCCAAUCGCAAAAAGCCUGUCUCAGUUCGGAUUGUAGUCUGCAACUCGACUACAUGAAGCUGGAAUCGCUAGUAAUCGCAGAUCAGAACGCUGCGGUGAAUACGUUCCCGGGUCUUGUACACACCGCCCGU
rnacentral:rRNA from 1 species